rnacentral:rRNA from 1 species
CUACGGGACGCUGCAGUGGGGAAUAUUGCACAAUGGAGGAAACUCUGAUGCAGCAACGCCGCGUGGAGGAUGACACUUUUCGGAGCGUAAACUCCUUUUAUAUAGGAAGAAGAUGACGGUACUAUAUGAAUAAGCGCCGGCUGACUCCGUGCCAGCAGCCGCGGUAAUACGGAGGGCGCAAGCGUUACUCGGAAUCACUGGGCGUAAAGAGCGUGUAGGCGGAUUAAAAAGUCAGAAGUGAAAUCCUAUAGCUUAACUAUAGAACUGCUUCUGAAACUCUUAAUCUAGAAUAUGGAAGAGGUAGAUGGAAUUUCUGGUGUAGGGGUAAAAUCCGUAGAGAUCAGAAGGAAUACCGAUUGCGAAGGCGAUCUACUAGAACAUUAUUGACGCUGAGACGCGAAAGCGUGGGGAGCAAACAGGAUUAGAUACCCUAGUAGUC